rnacentral:rRNA from 1 species
GACGAACGCUGGCGGCGUGCUUAACACAUGCAAGUCGAACGGUGAAGCGCCUUCCUUUUUGGUGGGUGUGGAUGAGUGGCGAACGGGUGAGUAACACGUGAGUAACCUGCCCCCUUCUCCUGGAUAACCGCAUGAAAGUGUUGCUAAUACGGGAUAUUCUGGGUCUGUCGCAUGAUGGGUCUGGGAAGGAUAUUGUUUCGGUGGUGGAUGGGCUCGCGGCCUAUCAGCUUGUUGGUGGGGUGAUGGCCUACCAAGGCGGUGACGGGUAGCCGGCCUGAGAGGGUGGACGGUCACACUGGGACUGAGCCACGGCGCAGACUACUACGGGCGGCAGCAGUGGGGAAUAUUGCACAAUGGGCGCAAGGCUGAUGCAGCGCCGCCGCGUGAGGGAUGGAGGCCUUCGGGUUGUGAACCUCUUUCGCCAGUGAAGCAGGCCUGCCUCGUUUGUGGGUGGGUUGACGGUAGCUGGAUAAGAAGCGCCGGCUAACUACGUG